AUUGAACGCUGGCGGCAGGCCUAACACAUGCAAGUCGAACGAGUGGCGGACGGGUGAGUAAUGUCUGGGAAACUGCCUGAGGGAGGGGGAUAACUACUGGACACGGUAUCUAAUACCGCAUACCAGCGGAUGUGCCCAGAUGGGAUUAGCUAGUAGGUGGGGUAAAGGCGCACCUAGGCGACGAUCCCUAGCUGGUCUGAGAGGAUGACCAGCCACACUGGAACUGAGACACGGCCCAGACUCCUACGGGAGGCAGCAGUGGGGAAUAUUGCACAAUGGGCGCAAGCCUGAUGCAGCCAUGCCGCGUGUAUGAAGAAGGCCUUCGGGUUGUAAAGUACUUUCAGCGGGGAGGCGUUACCCGCAGAAGAAGCACCGGCUAACUCCGUGCCAGCAGCCGCGGUAAUAC
rnacentral:rRNA from 1 species